rnacentral:rRNA from 1 species
UACGUAGGGUGCAAGCGUUGUCCGGAUUUAUUGGGCGUAAAGAGCUCGUAGGCGGCUCGUCGCGUCGACCGUGAAAACCCGCGGCUUAACUGCGGGCUUGCGGUUGAUACGGGCGGGCUAGAGUUCGGUAGGGGAGACUGGAAUUCCUGGUGUAGCGGUGAAAUGCGCAGAUAUCAGGAGGAACACCGGUGGCGAAGGCGGGUCUCUGGGCCGAUACUGACGCUGAGGAGCGAAAGCGUGGGGAGCGAACAGG